UACGUAGGUGGCAAGCGUUGUUCGGAAUUACUGGGCGUAAAGCGCGUGUAGGCGGCUCUUCAAGUCAGACGUGAAAGCCCCGGGCUUAACUCGGGAACUGCGUUUGAUACUGUCGAGCUAGAGUGUGGAAGGGGCGAUUGGAAUUCCGUGUGUAGCGGUGAAAUGCGUAGAUAUACGGAGGAACACCAGGGGCGAAGGCGGAUCGCUGGGCCAACACUGACGCUGAGACGCGAAAGCUAGGGAAGCAAACGGG
rnacentral:rRNA from 1 species